GGCGAUGCCGACCUGGUUCGAGAGCUGACCGCAGGUUUAAAGGGGCGCUGCCAAAGUCGGGUCUCCUGAGGGUCCGGCUCGCUGCACCCCCACGUUAGUCCUGUCACAGAGGCGGCUUACCCUGCAGACGGAAUCCGGCGUCAGGACCAUGCUGCCCUGAAUUCACAAGGACAAGCACCUGUCUUUCCUGGUGUCGGUUAUCUAUAAAAUGAGUUCAGUUGCUCAGUUGUGUCCGACUCUUUGUGACCCCAUGGACUGCCGCACACCAGGCCUCCCUGUCCAUCACCAACUGCCGGAGUCUACCCAAACCCAUGUCCAUUCAUUUGGUGAUGUCAUCGAACCAUCUCAUCCUCUGUCAUCCCCUUCUCCUCCUGCCCUCAAUCUUUCCCAGCAUCAGGGUCUUUUCAAAUGAGUCAGCUCUUCCCAUCAGGUGCCCAAAGUAUUGGAGUUUCAGCUUCAACAUCAGUCCUUCCAAUGAACACCCAAGACUGAUCUCCUUUAGGAUGGACUGAUUGGAUCUCCUUGCAGUCCAAGGGACUCUCCAGAGUCUUCUCCAACACCACAGUUCAAAAGCAUCAGUUCUUCGGUGCUCAGCUUUCUUUAGAGUCCAACUCUCACAUCCAUACAUGACUACUGGAAAAACCAUAGCUUCGACUAGAUGGACCUUUGUUGACAAAGUAAUGUCUCUGCUUUUGAAUAUGCUGUCUAGGUUGGUCAUAACUUUCCUUCCAAAGAGUAAGCGUCUUUUAAUUUCAUGGCUGCAAUCACCAUCUACAGUGAUUUUGGAGCCCCAAAACAUAAAGUCUGACACUGUUUCUACUGUUUCCCCAUCUAUUUGCCAUGAAGUGAUGGGACCGGAUGCCAUGAUCUUCGUUUUCUGAAUGCUGAGCUUUAAGCCAACUUUUUCACUCUCUUCUUUCACUUUCAUCAAGAGGCUCUUUAGUUCUUCUUCACUUUCUGCCAUAAGGGUGGUGUCAUCUGCAUAUCUGAGGUUAUUGAUAUUUCUCCCGGCAAUUUUGAUUCCAGCUUGUGCUUCUUCCAGCUCAGCGUUUCUCAUGAUAUACUCUGCAUAUAAGUUAAAUAAGCAGGGUGACAAUAUACAGCCUUGACAUACUCCUUUUCCUAUUUGGAACCAGUCUGUUGUUCCAUGUCUAGUUCUAACUAUUGCUUCCUGAGUCUAACUGUCUUGCUCAUACCAAUUUUUAGUAAUUUUCAGGCUUUCACAAAGUUUCAGUGACACCUUUAAGAAGCUUUUCGAAAAAUGCUACCCCUUUUCACACGCACAUUUCAUUGGUUUAGGUAACAGGUAAUUCUAAAUGAUAUAAUAUAGAUAAAUAUAUUUGCAUAUGUAGGUUAGCAAAUAGAACUGAUUUUAGUAAGCUUCCAACAGAAUUGGUAGAAUUAGCAGAGCUCUCACAUAGUUGAGAGCAGUCAGUGGUGGCAAGGGGAGAACAUGAGCAGAAAGCAGAGUGCUAGUACACUGAGUAGGGUAUUUGGAUGCUAGUUAAGAAAGCUUCCAUCACAGAGAAUAUUAGUAGGAAUUAGAGCAAGCUUUGUGCAAGUAUAUGCAAUUCAGAAUUUAUAAAGGAACAGAUUAAUACAUUUGUUUUAUAAAAGUUAUUAAAAAUAUCAUGUCCUCCCCAGACCCAAAUAAAGUCAAAGAACACCAUAAGAAAAAACAUUUUGCAACAUAUGACUGUCAAAUGACUAAUUUCCAACAUCUCAUAUAAACAAACAUUAAACAACCUAAUAUAAAAGUGAGCAAAGGAUAUCAAUAUAGAAUUUGGAGAACAAGAAAUAAAG
ensembl:lncRNA